AGGCCUGUGGAUCAGUGGUAGAGCAUCUACUUUGCAUGCAAAAGGUCCUAGGUUCCAUCUCCAGCUAGGACUG